rnacentral:lncRNA from 1 species
CAGAGGCAUGGUUAAAUUCCCAUUCCCUGCUUAAUCUUCAACCAUUCCUUUGUCUUUAUGAUGCAGAGUCACUACAAUUGAUAUAAACUAAUGAACAUAUACAUUUAUAGACUGGAGAUUAAUACUAAAAUCCAAAUUGCAAAAUAGUUUAGCCAGAAAACUUUAUGAUUCUGGCAUCGAAAAUGUAAGACCGCAGCGACUGAAACGUGCAGUGCUGGUUCGGGAUUAAGAGGAGCUUCACAUAUAGAAACGAUCCAGUUUAGUAUACAUAUGAUACAUGAUGCUUUUUUUUUUUCUUUCUUUCUUUUUUUUUUUAUGGUUUAUUUUAUUUUCAGCGGACCCGCAGAAUCAGCAGAUGGUGGAAGACGUGAAGGCUGCUCCUUGGUGUUGAACUACAGACGAGGAGCCCCGUGCCCAUUGGCUUCGUGGAAAUGUGGCGAGGGGGGAGCGGGGCUUCCUGCGCUAUAAAAGCGGAAUGUGCGCGCGUGGAGAGGACGGUACCUUCAGUCAGUCGACCGGUGCGCAUCACAAAUAUCCACACGCAGACACGCACAGCGAAGCCAUGAGUGAGAGACAAGCAUCUGGCCCAAUGACCGGAAACAGCAAAGCAUCUGGCCAAGGUAUUUUUAAACAGAAUAUUAACAAUGUGAAGUUUUUACCAAAGAUUAGAUUGUUUAAAAGACAACCAUGUAUAAAUCUUUACACACUAAAGUGACCUCAACACCACAAACACAAGGUAAUUUUCUCAUACAUUCUCUACUUCUGCGUGGUUUCAUUUAAAGCACUGCAUAAGUGUUUUUAAAGCACAUUAUAGGUUUUAUAUUAUCCACAGCUGUGAACAUGGUGGAAAAGAUCUACAGCAAAAUAAGCACAUUUUUUGUAUUUACUAAGCACAGUUCUUGAGUAAAUGUACCCACACUAUGUGACGUGUAACUCAGAAAUAAAAAACAGAGUUCAAGUGUUUGGGCAUUUUUGCAUAUUUAAUUUUAAGAUAUAUUCUUCUUUAAACCAUCAAGUUAAAACAACAAACUGAGAGACAACUGUGUGCUGUGAGGAGAAGGACCCAAGUGCUGACACACGAAAGAACAAAACUUGAGCUUUAAAAAAAAUGAGCUGUUUAUUCGAGGCUGGUGAAACUACAAAACAAAAGGGCAAUGGUGAAACUAAACUAUAACCUAAACUGGGUGAUCUAACGCUAACACAAAAAAACCUGGAACAUGAACGUGGAAACCCAGCAUGAAAAACCUGGAACGUGAAGACUUGACAUAAAUACAUGAAAUCCCUGGAAACAUGGAUGUAGUAACAAGCACACAUAGCAGGAAAGCAGGCUAAGCAGACAAAGAGAGACUAAAUACACACAGGAGGUGAUCAGGGGAAGUGGACAUAAUGACGCCACAGGGGAAGUGAAACUAAAUACACUGAACAUAGAACACCAGACCUCUUCAAAAUAAAACAGG